AUACGGGAGGCAGCAGUAAGGAAUUUUGGACAAUGGGCGAAAGCCUGAUCCAGCCAUUCCGCGUGCAGGAUGAAGGCCUUCGGGUUGUAAACUGCUUUUGUACGGAACGAAACGGUUCUCUCUAAUACAGGGGGCUAAUGACGGUACCGUAAGAAUAAGCACCGGCUAACUACGUGCCAGCAGCCGCGGUAAUACGUAGGGUGCAAGCGUUAAUCGGAAUUACUGGGCGUAAAGCGUGCGCAGGCGGUGAUGUAAGACAGAUGUGAAAUCCCCGGGCUCAACCUGGGAACUGCAUUUGUGACUGCAUCGCUAGAGUACGGCAGAGGGGGAUGGAAUUCCGCGUGUAGCAGUGAAAUGCGUAGAUAUGCGGAGGAACACCGAUGGCGAGGGCAAUCCCCUGGGCCUGUACUGACGCUCAUGCACGAAAGCGUGGGGAGCAAACAGGAUUAGAUACCCCCGU
rnacentral:rRNA from 1 species